CAAUAGCGUAUAUUAAAGUUGUUGCAGUUAAAAGCUCGUAGUUGGAUUUGUGGCAGUCGCGUGCGGCCCGGCAUUCGUGCCGGUGCUUGCUAGCGUCGCCAUCCUUGGGUGGAACCUGUGUGGCAUUAGGUUGUCGUGCAGGGGAUGCCCAUCGUUUACUGUGAAAAAUUAGAGUGUUCAAAGCAGGCUUAUGCCGUUGAAUAUAUUAGCAUGGAAUAAUAAGAUAGGACCUUGGUACUAUUUUGUUGGUUUGCGCACCAAGGUAAUGAUUAAUAGGGACAGUUGGGGGUAUUCGUAUUUAACUGUCAGAGGUGAAAUUCUUGGAUUUGUUGAAGACGGACUACUGCGAAAGCAUCUGCCAAAGAUGUUCUCAUUGAUCAAGAACGAAAGUUAGGUGAUCGAAGACGAUCAGAUACCAU
rnacentral:rRNA from 1 species